UGUGGAAUAUUGGACAAUGGGCGAAAGCCUGAUCCAGCCAUGCCGCGUGUGUGAAGAAGGUCUUCGGAUUGUAAAGCACUUUAAGUUGGGAGGAAGGGCAGUAAGCGAAUACCUUGCUGUUUUGACGUUACCGACAGAAUAAGCACCGGCUAACUCUGUGCCAGCAGCCGCGGUAAUACAGAGGGUGCGAGCGUUAAUCGGAUUUACUGGGCGUAAAGCGUGCGUAGGCGGCUAAUUGAGUCGGAUGUGAAAUCCCCGAGCUUAACUUGGGAAUUGCAUUCGAUACUGGUUAGCUAGAGUGUGGGAGAGGAUGGUAGAAUUCCAGGUGUAGCGGUGAAAUGCGUAGAGAUCUGGAGGAAUACCGAUGGCGAAGGCAGCCAUCUGGCCUAACACUGACGCUGAGGUACGAAAGCAUGGGGAGCAAACAGG
rnacentral:rRNA from 1 species